rnacentral:rRNA from 1 species
GAUGAACGCUAGCGAUAGGCCUAACACAUGCAAGUCGAGGGGCAUCACAUGAAGUAGCAAUACGGAUGGUGGCGACCGGCGCACGGGUGAGUAACACGUAUGCAACCUGCCUUCAACAAGGGCAUAACCCGUUGAAAGACGGACUAAUUCCCUAUAACACAGGGGUCCCGCAUGGGAAUAUUUGUUAAAGGACAACCGGUUGAAGAUGGGCAUGCGUUCCAUUAGCUAGUUGGCGGGGUAACGGCCCACCAAGGCAACGAUGGAUAGGGGAACUGAGAGGUUUAUCCCCCACACUGGUACUGAGACACGGACCAGACUCCUACGGGAGGCAGCAGUGAGGAAUAUUGGUCAAUGGACGCAAGUCUGAACCAGCCACGUCGCGUGAAGGAAGACGGCCCUACGGGUUGUAAACUUCUUUUAUACGGGAAUAAAGUGCCCCACGCGUGGGGUUUUGCAUGUACCGUAUGAAUAAGGAUCGGCUAACUCCGUGCCAGCAGCCGCG